rnacentral:ncRNA from 1 species
CCGGACACUCUAGCAGGGUUGCACCGCAAAGCAGCCCUGCCCCACUACCCC